rnacentral:lncRNA from 1 species
ACCCCGACCUUCGGGGGCUGAUUUUUGGGCGCGGCUGUGCCCGUGGCCUAUUUUUGGCACACGGAGGCCGCCCGCCAAGUCUGGGGCCAUUCCGAGUCACGCGGACGAACUUCGCCCACGCCCCCCACCAAGGCUAUAGCCCACCCGUUUUUUGGCCAUUUUUCCGCUGGGGGGUCUCGUGACCCCGACCUUCGGGGGCUGAUUUUUGGGCGCGGCUGUGCCCGUGGCCUAUUUUUGGCACACGGAGGCCGCCCGCCAAGUAUGGUGCAAUUCCGAGUCCCGCGGACGAACUUCGCCCACGCCCCCCACCAAGGCUAUAGCCCACCCGUUUCUUGGCCUUUUUUCCGCUGGGGGGUCUUGGGACCCCGACCUUCGGGGGCUGAUUUUUGGGCGCGGCUGUGCCCGUGGCCUAUUUUUGGCACACGGAGGCCGCCCGCCAAGUCUGGGGCCAUUCCGAGUCCCGCGGACGAACUUCGCCCACGCCCCCCACCAAGGCUAUAGCCCACGCGUUUCUUGGCCUUUUUUCCGCUGGGGGGUCUUGGGACCCCGACCUUCGGGGGCUGAUUUUUGGGCGCGGCUGUGCCCGUGGCCUAUUUUUGGCACACGGAGGCCGCCCGCCAAGUCUGGGGCCAUUCCGAGUCCCGCGGACGAACUUCGCCCACGCCCCCCACCAAGGCUAUAGCCCACGCGUUUCUUGGCCUUUUUUCCGCUGGGGGGUCUUGGGACCCCGACCUUCGGGGGCUGAUUUUUGGGCGCGGCUGUGCCCGUGGCCUAUUUUUGGCACACGGAGGCCGCCCGCCAAGUCUGGGGCCAUUCCGAUUCCCGCGGACGAACUUCGCCCACGCCCCCCACCAAGGCUAUAGCCCACCCGUUUCUUGGCCAUUUUUCCGCUGGGGGGUCUUGGGACCCCGACCUUCGGGGGCUGAUUUUUGGGCGCGGCUGUGCCCGUGGCCUAUUUUUGGCACACGGAGGCCGCCCGCCAAGUCUGGGGCCAUUCCGAGUCCCGCGGACGAACUUCGCCCACGCCCCCCACCAAGGCUAUAGCCCACGCGUUUCUUGGCCAUUUUUCCGCUGGGGGGUCUUGGGACCCCGACCUUCGGGGGCUGAUUUUUGGGCGCGGCUGUGCCCGUGGCCUAUUUUUGGCACACGGAGGCCGCCCGCCAAGUCUGGGGCCAUUCCGAGUCCCGCGGACGAACUUCGCCCACGCCCCCCACCAAGGCUAUAGCCCACGCGUUUCUUGGCCUUUUUUCCGCUGGGGGGUCUUGUGACCCCGACCUUCGGGGGCUGAUUUUUGGGCGCGGCUGUGCCCGUGGCCUAUUUUUGGCACACGGAGGCCGCCCGCCAAGUCUGGGGCCAUUCCGAGUCCCGCGGACGAACUUCGCCCACGCCCCCCACCAAGGCUAUAGUCUACGCGUUUCUUGGCCUUUUUUCUGGUGGGGGGUCUCGUGACCCCGACCUUCGGGGGCUGAUUUUUGGGCGCGGCUGUGCCCGUGGCCUAUUUUUCGCACACGGAGGCCACCCGCCAAGUCUGGGGCCAUUCCGAGUCCCGCGGACGAACUUCGCCCACGCCCCCCACCAAGGCUAUAGCCCACGCGUUUCUUGGCCUUUUUUCCGCUGG